GCACCCGUAGCUCAGCUGGAUAGAGCAUCGGACUACGAAUCCGGAGGCCGUAGGUUCGAAUCCUGCCGGGUGCGCCA
rnacentral:tRNA from 1 species